GACGAACGCUGGCGGCGUGCCUAAUACAUGCAAGUCGUGCGGACCGUGGUGAAGGCUUGCUUUUCAAAGGUUAGCGGCGGACGGGUGAGUACCACGUGGGCAACUAGCUUGUAAAACUGGGAUAACGCCGGGAAACCGGGCCUAAUACCAGAUCGUUUUUUCCUCCGCAUGGUCGAAAGAGGAAAAGGGUCUUCCGCUGCCACUUACAGAUGGGCCCGCGGCGGAUUCGCUUGUUGGCGGGGUAAUGGCCCACCAAGGCCACGAUGCGAACGCGACCUGAGAGGGUGAUCGGCCCCAAUGGGACUGGGACACGGCCCAAAAUCCUGAGGGGGGGAGCAGUAGGGGAUUUUUCGGCAUAGAGGAAAGGCCGAAGGGGCCACGCCGGGGGAGUUGAGGAGGCCCUUGGGUCGUAAAACUCUUGUGCCGGGGAAGGACCAGUUGCGUUAGAAACGGGGGGCGCCUUGACGGUACCCGGUCAGAAAGCCACGGCUAACUACGUG
rnacentral:rRNA from 1 species